rnacentral:sRNA from 1 species
CAAGAAUUCACUGGGUGUGGAGGAAGAAACAUCUUAACUUCAGGUACCGGGUGGACACAAAAUACCAUCAUUAACAUCAGCAAAGGCUGCUGAUUUCUCCAAAGGCACCUGUUUGCUACAUAAAAACACAGCAUCCACUGAUACAUUAUUGAAGUUUUGGGAAGCUUGGAAAGCCAUGGUUCUGGGUAAAUAGAAACCAGGGGCUAAAGAUUGGUACCCAAAUAACAGGUGCUGACAGAAAGCUGGGAGAAAGGAAUCAGAGAACAUUGGCUGACGGAAGGAAUCGUUUAUCUUAUCUAUCGGCUCAGACUAGUAGACUCUGCUCAGGAAAUGUCUGUGUGCUUCUUAACACGUGAAAGGAAUUCUCUUUACUUUGGCCUUCCUGGAAACAGAGAGGAGGAAAAUGCUGCCAGGUUCAGUGUUAACACCCCUGUAAAUGCAGAAAUCAGAGGCUGGAGGAAACAGAUCCAGGAGGAUAUUUAAGUGCCGAAAGCUAGAAGCUGAGUUCGGAAGGCAAGUAUGGUCAAGUUCUUGGUGUGCUCCAUUAAUGGGUUUCCAGAGAGCCAUUGUCUUGGUGAGUCUAAACACAGAGACAAAGAGCAGCUAGUUCUAUGGUACGUCCCACUUUUACACAGGGGCUCAUGACGGAGCCCUGGUUUGCUAUGUAGACCAGGUAGGCUCCCCCGCCCAGUGCAUUCCAUCACCAUACAAGGCCAUGAACAGCCAUACAUGAGGGAGCUCCCUGGCACCCUACCGACUUCCCAAAGGACAUUGAGGUUAGGAUGUCAACAUUAUGAAUUUCAGGGUAAACAUAUAUUUAGUCCAUUUGAUAAGAGGAAAUAGAAGGGGUCCAAGAAUAUUUCCCGUAGCUUCCUAAAGACAAACAGCAGUCAGCGCUUCUGCACUGGGCCAAUUGCUCAGAUCUUUGGUUUGCGAGGUGUAGUGGUCCUUGCUUGCAAGCCCAGCACUUGGGAGGCCGAGACAGGAGAAUUGUUAAAAGGACCAGCAUUGGCUACAAAGUGGCUACAAUGUCUCAAAACAAAACAACACAUUUUUCUUAGA